CUCUGUCGUGCUGGGGAUAGAGCAUUGCAAUUAUUGCUCUUCAACGAGGAAUCCCUAGUAAGCGCAAGUCAUCAGCUUGCGUUGAUUACGUCCCUGCCCUUUGUACACACCGCCCGUCGCUACUACCGAUUGAAUGGCUCAGUGAGGCUUUCGGACUGGCCCAGAGAGGUGGGCAACUACCACUCAGGGCCGGAAAGUUAUCCAAACUCGGUCAUUUAGAGGAAGUAAAAGUCGUAACAAGGUCUCCGUUGGUGAACCAGCGGAGGGAUCAUUA
rnacentral:ncRNA from 1 species